CACAUUCCUCUCUCCAGACUGUGUUGGUCUGAAGCACAGACCAGCGCCUGUGACAGAGAUCUUUUUUUUGCUUUUUAGUUAGUUAGCUAGCUAGGGCAGAGAUGUUCCCUGGAAGUUUUGGGGUUUUUUUCCUUUUUCUUGGGACUCUUUGAAUCUGCUCCAGACUGAAAACCCCAGAGAAGCACCGAGGGCUAGCACCUGCACCCCACUGGGCCUGGACUUCCAGAGGGACUGCGACUGACAAAGAACUGAGUGAGCCAAGCCACCCACGGCAAGGAUUUUCUCAGGUUUACCUUCUCUGUUCGGAGCAGCGAGAGAUCUACUGACUGGAUGGUCAUCACAGUGGACCUGUCAAACAUCUCACAGGACCUGACGGUUUACCAUAUGGGAUUGGACAAGAAAACCUACCUCCCACUCAACCCUGUGAUGAACCCCAUCCAAGUUGUCAUCCUGCUAAUGCUGAACAGUCUGGCAGCUGCAUGGAUCGUCACAGUCAUUGCUAUAUGCAAAUGAAUGGAAACUUGUAAAAGGGGCCUCUGUUUCAGCCUCAAGGCAUCAGACGCACCCCCUGGCCUGGUUUGAAGAUUCACCAUGACCUAUGAGGAGUCUGAAUGGAAUGGGAACCAGCCAGCUCAAGUGACAGAGAACGGGAAACUCUCGAGGUCUUUCCCUGAGGGUAAAGAGCUGACUCUGUACUCCAGUGACAGACCUCCACCGCUCUGCCUUCUGAUGGAUGACCAGAGAGAGCUUCUAGCUGUUCCCCUGGAGACAAGGACUCGGCACCUACUGUGGGCAGCUGAGUGAAGAACUGCAACAGUACCUGCUCCUUCAGAUUGCCACAGCAGCGUGAAAAACUCCUCUUAGACUCUACAGUCCUGCUGAUGACUUUAAAAAAUAGCUGAUCACUUUAAUAAAGAGGUGAAUAUUAUUAAA